GCCGCGCAGGUGCGGCUCCUCCGCCCGCCUCGGCCUCCCCGUCUGAGAGUCGGGGAGGGAGGCUGGAGAGAGCACGGCAGUCGCAGCGUUGCAGCGAGGCCUGAGUGAGUCACUCGUCUAGGAAGGACUUACAGGCGAGGAAGCCAAGCCUGCACAGGUGCGUGACUUGCCCGCAGCACACGCCCGGGAGCAGCGUGCACAGGGACCCCUGCACCUCUGGCCCCGCAGUCCGGUGCUCAUUCCUGCCAAGUUCAAGGUCCGACUGCAAAAGCACUUCUGUUGAGAAAGGGCAGUUCAGCCAAAACCCAGCUGGCUUCUGGAAACCAACGGGAGGGAACAGCCUGGGACACAGGCAGCGCUGGGCAGAUAUCCGAAAUUCCCCGUUACGGUCUGAGACAUGAGAAAUGACCACCUAAAGACUGAACUGAGCCAAAUCAGGAGUCUUUAUUAGCUGGCCAGCGGCUGCUCUCUGUGCCUUUGGCGGCGGCGCUAGGGGAAGGCCUCUGAGAGACGUUCGUCAGCCCCGGGCAGAGGCCUGACAAUGCACCGACCCCUGACACCUUCAAAACUGCAAAUUCUUCUGGACGAGUCUUCUGUUUCUGUUUACCAGCAACCUGGGAGGACUGCCAGCAGCCCCUCCAAACCCUCUUCCCUUCUGAAGAGCGUGAGCGGAUGAGGAGGGAGGCGGUCAAAACCAUUCCUGGCCCGGAUGGACAACCCACGACUGACCCAGUCCGAGUAGAGAUUGGUUUCCCUUCUGCGCGACCAGACUGGGACCCAAGUGAAGAACAAGCUCCUGCCAAACUCUCCAAACUACACAGAAGAAGAAGUUAAAAUAGGAAAAGCCCUAAAGACUAGACCUGAUUCAGGAGGUUGGAUAUUCCCUGGCUACACUGCCAAGCCCGGCAAGCUGCAGCAAGGUGCCAUGUCUGUGCUCGAGUAAAUCCAGGCAAGUACAGAUACCAAUAAUUGCUUAUAUUCAUUGACACUUUCUCUGGAUGGGCAGAAGCUUUUCCUCCAAAGUUAGAGACAGCACAAGUAGCUAUAAAAAACUAGUUACUGAGACUGUUCCCCCAUUUGGCCUCCCACUUGCACUGGGGUCUGACAAUGGCCCGGCAUUCAUCACCCAAACGACUCAAUUAUUAACUAAGACAUUAAAGAUUAAUUAAAAAUUACACUAUACUUAUAGGCCUCGGAGUUCAGGACAGAUAAAAAAGAUAAAUAAGACUUUAAAAAACAUUAAACAAAUUAAAGCUAGAGACUGGCGCAGACUGGGUAGGUCUCCUCCCCUUUGCUCUGCUAAGGGCUAGAGGCACUCCUUAUGUUAAGGGCUUAACCCCAUAUGAAAUCAUGUUCGGCCGACCGUCCCUGCUUAUCCCCAAGCUGGGGGGGGGACCAGGUACCAGAGUUAAAUAACCAUUCCCUUCUUAGCUCAUUGCAGGCCUUACAGUCUGGUGUCCGGCAGACCUGAGACCUUGUAAAGGCCGCUCAUCCUGGACCAAUUAAUCCUCCCCCUGAGAAAGGCUUCGUUUCAGGUACAGCCCAGAGAUCUCGCUGGGGCCUCCAAACGUUAUGGUCUGAGAUGCGAGAAAUGACCACCUAAAGACGGAAUUGAGCCAAAUCAGGAGUCUUUAUUAGCUGGCCAGCGGCUGCUCUCUCUGCCGCCACCAAAGGCUAAUAAAGACUUCUGAUUUGGCUCAAUUUGGUCUUUACGUGGUCAUUUCUGACGUCUCAGACCAUAACAUUCCCGUCACCCAUCUACCGCCACCUGCUCACUCAGCCCCUCGAGCCCUCUGUCCCUCCAGAGAAGCACACAGGCUCACGGACCGGGACAAACUGGAACGUGACUAAACCGCGUCUGCAGCUCCUGCGUGUCACCGCACACACCGGCCAGCUGCCCCUGCUCACCGGCGACUGUGCCGUGACUUCCUGGGAAGAACUGAGACUGAGCAGCUCACACAGCAGCAGUCCUGCCACAUCCUGCCACGCAAAAAUCAAUAAUUCAGCCCAGUGUGGGCUGAGGAACGAGGACUGUGACCUGCUUCCCAGGCAUUCUUAAACCCACUGAAGUUUCCAAAACACACCGAGAAGCCUGUAAGUGCCAGAGCACAGGGACCACAUGUGCUGGUGUGUUUCUCAUCACUACGUCCCCGUGCCCAGCACAGAGCCUGGGACGAAACAGACUCUCAGUGGCUUGGUUGUUUAUCUAACCCGGAUCAGUGAAGGGAUGGAGAAGGGAGGAGCUCAGACACCCGCCAUGUCAUCGUGUCAUCGGCCGCACUCCUCUCCUGCGGCCGCCUUGGCUAACUCUUGUCUCUGCACCUAGAAGGCUUUUGAUUUUGAGCUCUGAGGGGCUGACAGGUAAACCUCACACACGCGAAGACUAGCUCUGGGGCCAGAAUUCUGCCUCUGCCAUGACUGAUGUGAAUUGAUACUUCACCUGUGUGUGUCUGGUUUCGACUGUCAUAUGGGAACAGAGAUGGCUCCUACAGGACUACUGAGAAUUAAAUAGCACAGGGAAAACAUUCAGACAGGCCUGUCUCACACACAGUGACUAUUGGCCGCUUUCCUUCACUGCUGCUACGAUGAUUGUAACUUCCAGUUCAUUCAAGUGACUCAUUGACUAGAAACCUAAGGCUUAUAAGAAGCCGCCCUUCUGCCAAAGCCUGCAGAGAAGCCUCUCUUGGGGCUGAACUGCCAUCAGCAGACAAAAUGAUCUCUUGUACGAGCUGAUUAGAGAACCAGAGCAAGAUCCCUGCAGUGUUCUUUUGUCCCUGUAAAAACACUUUCUGGUAUUCACUUUACCAUGCAGUGUGGCCGGUGCCCUGUCUGAUCAAGGCUUCUCAGGAGGUUGACUUGACAGCAGCAGUGGGAGAACUGAGUCACCACACAGCACGUGUCAGCAUGAGGCAGAAUCCCAGAGAUCUUGCACUGUGACAUUCAGGACCAGGGUCAUAUUGGCAGCAGAAAUUUGUUUCAGGAAAACACCACCAACCGUUACAUUAAAUUAAUGGGGUCAAUUUGAAUGUUAUUGCUUUUAUAGCUUUGUUUAUAUUUAAUUUAUAUGCCGAUUUUUUUUUUUUGAGAUGGGGUCUUGCUCUGUUGCCCAGGCUGGA